CAUUGAAAUGUUGGUCUCACAGCUGCUGAACUCAUCAUGGUGGGAGUUCAUCUGACAUCCCGCCAGCUCCAGUUCGGACACUUUCACCUCACAUCAGCAGGCAUGAAUGAGGUCCUGAAGGCACCGCCGAUAAAAGGAAACGACACACCGCAGAGCAGAAGCCCUCAGAGUAAAGGUCCAGGAAGACGGACUCACCUUCCAGGGAAGAGCCUGUCCCAACCGCAGAGAGGCAAACGAGACCCGCGCUUAUCCUGAAACGCCUCGCUUCAAGUCUCCAACACUGACAGGAAGAUUUCCAUCCAAGUGCUCAGAGAGCAGGUUUGACUGAGCCAGAACAGGACAGAGGAGAGGGAAGAGGGAGGAGGAGGAGGAGAAUGAAGAGACGAGUGAGCCGGUGUCCUAUUACACUCUCCGCUCAUGGCCCCCUCCUCUUUUCCUCCUCCUUUCCUCCCUCUUUCCUCCCUCCUUCCUCACUAGAGAGCAAACAGAUCACUUUAACAGCCCGAAGCAUCAGAGAAGGACCCAAACCUCACACAGUGAUGGUGAGGCAUCACAGGUCACAUGCAUCCAUUAGGCUUUUAAUCUGCAAGACUGUCCGAAAAAAAAAAAAAUCACCUGAUUUUAGUCAAAUUAUCAUUUCUGGUCUGUUUUUCUGUCAAUCAAGUUAAAGCACAUUUCAGCAGCAGGGCAGUUCAGGGCAUUUUAUGUAAGAAAAACACAAAAUUACAAAGUUAUUAAACAAAGCCUUGAACAAACAGCUCAUUUUAAUGUGUCCUGUCAAUAAAAUCACACGUUAAAUA